rnacentral:rRNA from 1 species
CCCUUAGAUGUUCUGGGCCGCACGCGCGCUACACUGAUGCAUUCAACGAGCCUAUCCUUGACCGACAGGUCCGGGUAAUCUUUGAAUCUGCAUCGUGACGGGGAUAGAUUAUUGCAAUUAUUAAUCUUCAACGAGGAAUGCCUAGUAGGCGCAAGUCAUCAGCUUGCGUCGAUUACGUCCCUGCCCUUUGUACAUACCGCCCGUCGCUCCUACCGAUUGGGUGUGCUGGUGAAAUGUUCGGAUCGGCCGUUUGUCGCGGUUUCCGCGUCAUGUGGCUGAGAAGUUCAUUAAACCCUCCCACCUAGAGGAAGGAGAAGUCGUAACA